rnacentral:rRNA from 1 species
GACGAACGCUGGCGGCGUGCCUAAUACAUGCAAGUCGAGCGAAGAUUUUCUGGUGCUUGCGCUAGAAAGACUUAGCGGCGAACGGGUGAGUAACACGUAAAGAACCUGCCUCAUAGACUGGGACAACUAUUGGAAACGAUAGCUCAUACCGGAUAACAGUAUUUCUCGCUUGAGAGAGAUUAAAAACUUGGUUAUGCUAACACUAUGAGAUGUCUUUGCGGUGCAUUAGCUAGUUGGCGGGCUAAAGGCCCACCAAGGGGACGAGGCAUAGCCGAGCGGUGUGGGUGAUAGCCGACACUGGAACGGAGACACGCCCCAGGCGCCUGCGGGAGGCACCAGUAGGGAAUCUGCGGCAAUAGGCGAAAGCCUGACGGAACGACGCCACGUGAGAGAAGAAGAAGUUCGGUGCGUAAAGCCCUGUUGUUGGUGAAGAAUCGAUUUGUAGUAACAAGACACGUAAGUGACGGUACCUAACCAAAAAGCAACGGCUAACUACGUG